GUAGUGCUGUUAUAGCAAGCAAUCACUGUCACUUCCUGAUUAAAGUAUAUGGUAGCGAAAAGUGUAGAGUUGUCUUGAAAGCGCAAGUCUUGAAAAUUUACGAAGUCGACACGGUCUGUAGCUAAGGCAUGGUUUAAGAAAUAAACCACUUGAGAUUUCUUAGUGACAUUUUCUCCAUUCUUGCGGUAUCGGGAAUACUGUACAAGUUAUACUACAUCACUAAAUGCACUAUUAUACUUUAAAAAAAAAUCGGCAAAAGGAAUUUCGCACGACUUAGCCGUAUUCUGAUGUAGAUUGUAGGCCGUAAAUAUGUAUAAUAUUAACGUGUUUGAAGUGAAUAAUUACGGAGAUUAAAAUUGUUUAGAUCCCUUUUGGGUGAAGGAUGAUAAUGACGAGAGAAGGAAGAGUGUGGAACCCAGUACUGCCACACAGCCUACACGCCUCGAAUAGCACCAAAGGGACUGCCAAGCUUAAUGUCUCCAUCAAUCAGAUGGAUCACCAACAUGUCACAUGCCCUCACUUAAUAACUGAGGAGAGGUUUGGAAUUUAAUCCAGGACACUAGCGCAAAGUCUGAUGGCUCUACAAUGACUGCAAGGAGCGUUGGAUUCCAAAGUUUGGCAGCAGCGAGAAGUGCCACGAAGUCUGUUAAGUUGCAAUGCUAACAAUUUUUUGCGCUCUCCAAAUCCAUUGAUCUAACAACGGUAGCACCACAGUGUAAUGAGUCACGACACUCCAUCUCGUUUUUUGCACUAAACGGUUUAAUUAUGAUUCUCUUGUAACAUACAGACAUGUAUUAAAUAAUGUUGUUUACCUUCAACAAAAAAUUGAUACUAAACACCAGAAAACCUGACCAUUUACAGAAAGACAUCUAUCUAUCCAACACAGUAAGAGUUUUCUGCGCUACACUUUCAAUCAAAGCAGUGAAUGUGGAACGUAGGAAACCUAUAUGGAAUGUAAUACCUAGAUUAUUUAACACCUCAAAUAAGCCAUCACAACUGUUACCUUACGGAAAAACCAUACAGGUAUGAUGAUAAAUCAUAAAAAAGCAACAAAACUGCUUCCCAACAUAGGAGAAACCAAUUCCACAAUUGUCGCUAAAUUGAGCCACGAACGGCAAGAGUAUACAACACAUUCGCUUUUGAAGCAAAAGUGAUUACAUGACAAAAACAUUCAUGUAUUAUAAAGUAGAGUGAAGCAUAAG